rnacentral:tRNA from 1 species
ACUAGGAUGCUAUAUGCGUAUAAGUUUCGGCCUUAUAUUUGAGGUAAACUCUCUUAGUU